rnacentral:rRNA from 1 species
AUUGAACGCUGGCGGCAUGCUUUACACAUGCAAGUCGAACGGUAACAGGCCGCAAGGUGCUGACGGGUGGCGAACGGGUGAGUAAUGCAUCGGAACGUGCCCAGUCUUGGGGGAUAACUACUCGAAAGAGUAGCUAAUACCGCAUACGAUCUAUGGAUGAAAGCGGGGGACCGUAAGGCCUCGCGCGAUUGGAGCGGCCGAUGUCAGAUUAGGUAGUUGGUGGGGUAAAGGCUCACCAAGCCAACGAUCUGUAGCUGGUCUGAGAGGACGACCAGCCACACUGGGACUGAGACAAGGCCCAGACUCCUACGGGAGGCAGCAGUGGGGAAUUUUGGACAAUGGGCGCAAGCCUGAUCCAGCAAUGCCGCGUGCAGGAAGAAGGCCUUCGGGUUGUAAACUGCUUUUGUACGGAACGAAACGGCUCUGGUUAAUACCCGGGGCUAAUGACGGUACCGUAAGAAUAAGCACCGGCUAACUACGUG